rnacentral:misc_RNA from 1 species
UCAAAAGGGAAAAAAAAAAAAAAAAUCUCAAUCUGCUUGUUAGUUUCUGAAUCCUUUGCCUUCCAUAGCUUAAAUUUCCAAUAAGAUUUGAAACUCAUCAAUGCUUAUUUAUUUUCAGCCUUUUACAGGAACCUUUAAAAUUAUUUUCACAGAUUUGAAUUGUAAUGUGAAAAUAACUGUAAGUUUUGUAACUUAUGGGAAGUUGAGUGUUGUUUCUUG